CGUCGGCUGGCUCCGUGCUGCUAUUGGCUGCUGACUUGGCGCAGGCGCCAUGGCCCCUGCGUUGGCGUUCGCGGUUGCAGAGGCAGGGCUUUGGCCACUGGAGACCAUAGGUUCGAAUCCCGUCUGGGAACUUCAAUUUGCGCCACCUGUAAAGAAGCUGGCAUUAUUGGCUAGCACAGAAUGUGUCGGGACCCACUCACUGUUCACAGCAGCACUGAGAAAAAUUCUUCACUGGGGUUCCUGACGUCUGUAUUUCAGGCUACCUGUAGGUGUGAGUUCUGCAGAGAAGGUUCAAGUGAUCUCUGCACCCAACGUGGGGCCCGAACUCACAACCCUGAGAUCAAGAGUCGCGUGCCCUUCUGACUGAGCCUGUCGGGCACCCCUAACUGGUUCUUCCUGAUACCCUCUUACUGAGACAUCCCUUGGCUCCCAUGGUGUGUAUUCUCCCUCACCGAAAUGAAUAAUGAACCCUACUUGUUCAACUACAGGGGAAGCCAGCCACCAUGUUGUGAGGACACUCAAGCAGCCGCAUGGAGAGAUCUAUGUACCAAAGAACUGAGGCACCCCAGCCAAAAGCCAUCGCUAAAUUGCCAGCAAUGGUCAACUGUAUACCUGGCCUGUCCCCAGUGUCCUGCAAGUCUGGAGGAAGAGGCAGCCAACGUAAGGCAUGUCUACGUCCUACUCCAGAGUGUGCGUGUUCCGAGUAGUAAAAGGCGCUCCUCCUGGUCAGACACUGCUUGGUGGUAAGCUGAACCCUUGCGAAAUGAGAAGUGGAGCCUUUCCAGGUGACGCAACCCUAUGCUGAAGUACAUGGCCUGAUAAAAGGAACUCUGCCUGCAUUUCGGUUCCCGCCUCCCUCUUUGCCAGGUACCCUUAAGAAGGCAACCCAGUCCAGAAGUAUUUCGCUGUGCUUUCAACUACCAGCUGGAAACGCACGCCCCUGCCAGGAAGUCCCUGUCACACUCAGGCCAACCGCCCCCCACCUUUCCCCGGACAGGAAAAGCAGGGAAGCUGCAGGCACACAGUGAGGCGAGCUGGGCGCACGCGGUGGGAGCAUGUGGCCGGAAGAGCUGCCCGCGCGCGCGCGCGCGCACGUCGGGGCCCGGCUCCCUACCUCUCCCACGUACUCCAUGACGAAGCUGUUCUUGCGGAUCUUCUCCAGCGUGCGGACGCCCCAGCCGCGCCCGUCGUCCGUGCGGAAGAUGCAGAGGUCAUAGCGGAUGCCCUUCUGCACCACGCGGUUGGGGCAGUCAUAGCCGCAGCGGCAGCGGGAGUUGCACUCGUAGAUGGGCAGGCCGGCGCGCAGCCGCACCUGACCCUGGUCGUUGUAGGCAAACUUGUGCAGGGACGCCCCGGGGCAGCAGCCUCCAGCGGGGGCCCACAGACAGUCCUGGCACUCGCAGCCCACCGCCACCUGGUUGAGGGUGAUGCCCUCACCCACACGGUACUCGUUGAUGUAUACGAAAGCCCGCGGGGGGCCGUCCAGGUCCACCUCGUUCUCCACGGUGAUGCGUCCCAGGUGGCUGCGCUUGGCAUUGAGCUCCUGCUCCCAGCGCCGGAGCGCCCGCCUCUGCUUGGCCUUCUGUACCAGGUAGUUGGCCAAGCUUGGGUCCAGGUGCCGGGGGGGCUUUGACCGGUGGUGCCGCCGGAGCAGCUCCCUUUCUAAGUCCUUGUGGAACUGCUUGAGAAUGCGCACGCACUUGAGAUUCUGCCGUGGCUCCCAGGUGCUCUCGGAGUCUGGGUAUCCACGCCAUUUUACCAGGUACUCGACUUCAAAGUCAUAGAGAUUCCUCUUGGAGAUGCCGAGGGCAGGGCAGGAGAGCUUGGCCAGGCGGCACAGGUCCUGUAGCUGAUUCCAAGAAGACUUGCAACACACACUGCAGCCUAGAACACGGAGAGCAGAAAGAACUUAAUGGGCAUCCUGGCGAAGCCAUGGGUCAAAGGGGACCCCAAAUCCUCUCUGGGACUUCCAAAGGACUGCCUCAGAGUCAGUGAGAUUUAAUCCACAGGCCUUCCCAAUGCUGACACCCUUCUACAACAAAAAUGUGCCACUUCUUCAACCCCAGUGCUCAUUCCAAGGCUACCCCUGGAGCAGUAGGCCUCAAAGUGGGAUCUGCUGGAUGGAUUAUCCUAAAGGAAUCUAUUCCCAGAGCUUCCAACUCCCUCCAUACUAUUCCUAAAACUGCCCGCAAACGGGCCUAGGGUUCAGGACCUAAUCAUCCCUCUCCCCACUUUGCAAAAUAAAGAGAACAAACCCCCCCCAUCUCAGUAGGGUGCAUUGCCCCAGGGGAACUGGUGGGGAUGGGAUUACAACCUGUAGGCACCAAACAAAGGCUUAACUGGAAAGACUGGUCCGGAAUCCCUUAUCUGAAACUCCUGGGGCUAGUUGUGUU